UUAAGGGCACAGAGAAUGCGGUACAUGAAG
rnacentral:piRNA from 1 species